GCGGGCGUGGCGGAAUUGGCAGACGCGCCAGGUUUAGGUCCUGGUGGGCAACCGUGGGGGUUCGAGUCCCUUCGCCCGCACCA
rnacentral:tRNA from 1 species